GCCAAGGCUCGCCAACCAAGGUCAGCAGAUCAGUAUAUUGAUCAAAGAGCUGCCUUUUACCUCCCUCCUCUCAAAGAGCCUUCUGGUCCUUUGCCCUGAAGCUGGCCAGGGCCUCUGGGGAAUGAGAGGUCCACCCUGCGGGCUACCCUGCCUGCUGGCCCCUGGCCCUGGCCUUGUUCUGACCUGCUGUGUAGCACAGAGCCCCAGGGGCGAGUUGCUCCCCUUCUCUGCAGGAUGCAGCCUCCACACCUCCUCCCCGGGGUUCCCAGCACUGUGUCCUCCAGGGCCAUGCUGUCUGGACACCAGCCAGUGGCCACUCCAUGCUAUUGGCCGGAGCUUCAUCUGGAGGAGCCACAGCACUGUCCACGGUGCCCUCUAGCUGGUCCCCUGCUCAUGCAGUUCACUCAUUAUUCAUUCAGUGUGCUCAGCGGACAGGACAGGACUGGGGAAUGAGGUUGGCCGGAAGCUGAGCACAGGAGAGGCUGGGCUCUGCCUCAGACGGGUCAGUCUCCCCCUGGCCAGUAGCACGGAACAACUCCCUCAGGCUCUCUGUCCGAGGUCUCCUUCCCCUAGAUGGGGUGACCUCAUUUUAGGGAAGAAAUAGUCAAUGAGAUAAUGUGCAAGUGCCCUGGAUAGCUCUGAUCAAUUGUGACCCAGCAAUCUCACGUCUGGGUACGAACCCGGGAGAACUGGCAUGCCCAGCCGCGCUCACAGGGCCUCAUUCACAAAGCCAAGAUGGAGAAGCGGCUCGUGCGUGGGCGGAGACUGGACGGCUGGCAACAGGGUGUGGUCCCUGCACCGUGGGCCGCUCCUCGGGCUGAGGCAGGAAGGGCCGCCACUCAGGCGGGCCUGGAAGACACGCGGUGAAUGAAGUAAGUCACUCACGAAAGAGCACACAUUUGUGUGAGGUGCCGUCAUGGAGUCCACAGCGACAG
rnacentral:lncRNA from 1 species